AUACACACCUCCGCCUCCCUCGGCGAGACCGCCACCUCCUCCUCCUCCUUUGCUGAGACCACCACCAGGACCACCUCCUGUUACCCGACCCCUACCACGAGUUCCCUCGCCUCCACCUGCUUUUCC